CUUCAGGGCUCCGAGCAGCAUCGGCCGGUCCUCCGCGGAGCGCUCCUGGCCGUACGUCGCCAUCAGCGCCUGCGCUUC
rnacentral:antisense_RNA from 1 species